rnacentral:lncRNA from 1 species
CUGUCUUCCUCGGAAGCAACACGGAAUUGUCAAUAAUGAAAAGGAAUCUGUUCGAUAAAAAUAAAUUAUAAUUGUAUGACAAUUAAAAACAAAUAAAACAGAUAAGAGCAAGGUAUUUUUUAGUGUUUGCAUGAUGCUAAGCCUCUUACCUGUAUUAUCUUAUUUAAUACUUACUGUAACUCAGGAAGGAUAUUACUGUUUUUAUUUUGUAGGUCCGAAAAAGCAGCUCAGAAGGCAAGUGGUUUCUCAAGGUCCACAGUGGGACUUCAGCCUCAUUUAUUAAGCAGCAGAGUUUUAGAAGCCUUAUGCAGAAAUGAGUAAAAACCAAGGGGUGAAUGAAGACAGGGUUCGUCCCCCUCCACACACCUUCUCACCACUGUGAUAAACAAUCUAUAAUAAACAGUCAUUUUACAUCAGAA